rnacentral:ribozyme from 1 species
UGCCCAGCAACUCCUAUCCCUGCCUCCUCGUGGUACUGGCCGGGGUACGAGUAACCUUGGGGAAGAUCGGGUAACCAACCCUUGGUGGGAACUUUGGUCGUAUGCUGAUAGGGAAGG